CGCGUCGAUCCACGCCGGCGAGGUCCCGCGCCAGCCAUUGGUACUGGUCCGAGCGACGAACGGCGGUGGUGAGCUCUAAACAAUUUUUCUAGAAUUGCUCUAGAACAAUGUUUCUGGAAUCGUCUCAUCGCACUCGCCGCAGUUCAUCACUCGUGAGUAGACCAAUGUGAAUCGGAUAAUCAUCUAGCGCAAUGAAUUGAAGUAGAAAAGAGGAUGGAGUAAAAGAGGAGAUAAUUUGGCAGUAAAAAUGGCUGACAUUUCAAUUUUGUGACAGGUCGCAAUAGCAAUUACAAAUGGAUCACUCCAAGAACUGCUACAGCAAUCUUCCUGCUGCUCAACUAACGGAGCAGUUAAUCCUACAGCUAAAGAACACUCCGGAGGCCGCAUCAUCGCCCUGAGGAUCGGGGUCAAUGAAACCAACCUCUGUUUCCAACACUUCACUUAGCAGCAACGCGCACUUGUCUUCGCCGGUCAUCUCCUUGCCGCCUCUUUCGCUGGCAACAAAUUGCAGGCUUCAUCAUAUUGCUCAUCGAGCGCUUGGAUCCACUCGCCUUCGUCGCAAUCCCAGUCCGACAAGGUGGAACAGGCGCCGGCCAAUUCCUUGAUUCUCUAGGAAAUUCCAAAUUGGGAGCCGUAGGAGGCGUGCCGGCCGCGGGGCUGCGACGAACGGGCACCGCAAUCGUCAAGCUCAGUGCUAGCACAGAGAGGAGAAAGAAGUGGUAACUGUACCAUGUACCUUGACAAUGGUAAAGACAUCCAUUUGUGC
rnacentral:lncRNA from 1 species